rnacentral:rRNA from 1 species
AUUGAACGCUGGCGGCAGGCCUAACACAUGCAAGUCGCGCGAGCGGCGGAGGGGUGGGUAAUGCCUAGGAAUCUGACUGUUAGUGAGGGAUAACGUCAGGAAACGGUAGCUAAUACCGCCUACACUCAGAGUUGCACCGAAUGGAUUAGCUAGUAGGUGGGGUAAUGGCGAACCUAGGCCACGAUCCCUAGCUUGUCUGAGAGGAUGAUCAGCCACACUGGGAAUGAGACACGGCCCAGACGCCUACGGGAGGCAGCAGUGGGGAAUAUUGCACAAUGGGCGCAAGCCUGAUGCAGCCAUGCCGAGUGUAUGAAGAAGGCCUUCGGGUUGUAAAGUACUUUCAGUCGGGAGGCGUUACCGACAGAAGAAGCACCGGCUAACUCCGUGCCAGCAGCCGCGGUAAUAC